AGAGGAGGUGUUUGGGUAGGUGCAGGUGUAGUAGAUGCAGUACCACCCUUAAUUGUAUUAAACUCAUCAUAUAAUUUAGUCAGGGUAUCUCAGGCCAUCUCACCAAUAAGAUCAGUUCAUGCCUGAUAGUGCGCAAGUCCCAAACCA